CCUCCACUUGGGUGAAUUCUCUUGUGUAAUCAAGGAUGAGCUUCAAGGGUAAAGAAACUCUAAAUCUUUCUUCUCUUUAAUGUUGUUAAAGAGUUUAAUGGUUCACCAUAUACUAGGCUUUGAAAGUCAUGGGUUUUAUGAAUUGUUUUUGAAUGCAUGCCUACUUUAAUGUGUUAAUAGUUUGCAUAUGUAUUCAAAUGUUCUUACUUGUUCUUAGCUAGGACAAAAUUUUUGCGGGUCAAGAGUGUUGAGUGUCUCCUUUUAAAUUUAUGCGAACAAGGAGCUUUGAAUGUCACAUUUUAAGCUUGUCCGAACAAGGAGCAUUGUGCUGUGUUUAGUUUAGGCUCAUGCAGGUGAGGAGCGUUAAGUGUCACCUUUUAAACUCGUGCGAACAAGGAGCAUUGAGUGUCGCCGUUUAAGCUCAUGCGGACAAGGAGCACUGUGGCGUGUGCAGUUCAGGCUCGUGCAGGCGAGAAGAGUUGCUUAUUUUGGUUUAAGGGUAGUAACGUUUCAAGAAUCUGUCGUUGAUGGGGCCGAUCCUUAAGCUGUCUUUUGCCAUGUUUAGGUAGACACCUUUGGUCUAGACCUCUUGUAUUACGUAAGGUCCAUCCCACUUUGAUGUUAACUUUCUUUUUGUUAUGUGAGUUGUGAUGAUUGACCUUCAUAAUGCCAAGACAUGAUCUCUAGUUUGGUAAGACCUUGGUUUGAGACCUUCUUGUUGAAUGCCUUGGAUAGCCGUGCUUGGUAGCAUUCCAAAUGUUGUUGAGCUUUGAGCCUCUUUUCAUCGAGUGCUUCCAACUCUUGAAGUCGCAGCUUUGCGUUUUCUUCUUUACUCAAGCCUUCUUGUAUAGCCAUCCUUAGUGAGGGGAUUUGACUUUUGAGUGGCAAAACAGUUUCCACACCAUAUACGAGAGAAUAAGGCGUAGCGUCUUAUGUGUCAUCCUAUAUGCCUAAAGUGCUUUGCUUAUUCUUUCAUGCCAGUCCCUCUUUGUUUGGCCGAUCACCUUCUUCAGGAGGUUGCACAUCGUUUUGUUGAAUACUUCUGCAAGACCGUUGGUUGGAGCAUGAUACAUAGAAGACUUGUGCUGCUUGAACUUGUAUUUCUUGUAGUGCUCGUCCACGAGUCGAUUGGAAAACUGUUUUUCAUUGUCAAUGAUGAUGUAGAGAGGCACAUCAUAUCAAUGGAUGAUAUGCUCUUUGAUGACAUGGACAACAGUUUCCUUCUUGACUUCCUUUAGGAGUACGUCGUCAGCCCACUUGGAGGUAAUAUGUUGCAGCUAGGAUGUAGGCCUCUUCGGCAGAUGAUUUUGGUGCAACUGGUCCCACGACGUCCAAUCCCCUUGCAUCAAAUGGCCAUGAAGCAACCAUCGG
rnacentral:lncRNA from 1 species